GGUGGGGGGGGGGGGGGGGGGGGGGGCGGGGGAGUGGGGGGGGCGGGCGGGGGGCUGGCUCCUCUGGCGUUAGCGGCGGGCGGGUGAGUAACACGUGGAUGACCUGCCUAUAAGACUGGGAUAACUUCGGGAAACCGGAGCUCAUACCGGAUACUAUAUUGAACCGCAUGGUGCAAUAGUGAAAGCCGGUUUGGCUGUCCCUUUUAGAUGGUCCCACGCCGCAUUAGCUAGUUGGUAAGGUAACGGCUUACCAAGGCAACGAUGCGUAGCCGACCUGAGAGGGUGAUCGGCCACACUGGAACUGAGACACGGUCCAGACUCCUACGGGAGGCAGCAGUAGGGAAUCUUCCGCAAUGGGCGAAAGCUUGACGGAGCAACGCCGCGUGAGUGAUGAAGGUCUUCGGAUCGUAAAACUCUGUUAUUAGGGAAGAACAAAUGUGUAAGUAACUAUGCACGUCUUGACGGUACCUAAUCAGAAAGCCACGGCUAACUACGUG
rnacentral:rRNA from 1 species